rnacentral:rRNA from 1 species
AACGAACGCUGGCGGCGUGCCUAACACAUGCAAGUCGAGCGAGAAAGCUCCUUCGGGAGUGAGUAAAGCGGCGCACGGGUGAGUAACACGUAGGUAACCUACCCUCGAGCCUGGGAUAACCUACCGAAAGGUGGGCUAAUACCGGAUAUGACCACGGGAGCCACGGCUUCUGCGGUAAAAGAUGGCCAAAGCUUGCAAGCUAUCACUUGAAGAUGGGCCUGCGCACCAUUAGCUAGUUGGCGGGGUAAUGGCCCACCAAGGCUGUGAUGGUUAGCUGGUCUGAGAGGAUGGCCAGCCACACUGGGACUGAAACACGGCCCAGACUCCUACGGGAGGCAGCAGUGGGGGAUAUUGCGCAAUGGGCGAAAGCCUGACGCAGCGACGCCGCGUGGGUGAUGAAGGCC